ACGGCUCAGUAACACGUGGACAACCUACCCUCAGGUCGGGGAUAAACCCGGGAAACUGGGUAUAAUACCCGAUAGAUCUCGACUGCUGGAAUGCAUCGAGAUCGAAAGCUCCGGCGCCUGAGGAUGGGUCUGCGGCCUAUCAGGUAGUAGUGGGUGUAGCGUACCUACUGGCCUACGACGGGUACGGGUUGUGAGAGCAAGAGCCCGGAGAUGGAUUCUGAGACACGAAUCCGGGCCCUACGGGGUGCGGCAGGCGCGAAAACUUUACAAUGCUGGAAACAGCGAUAAGGGGACCUCGAGUGCCAGGUUACAAAUCUGGCUGUCGUGAUGCCUAAAAAGCAUUGCAUAGCAAGGGCCGGGCAAGACCGGUGCCAGCCGCCGCGGUAACACCGGCGGCUCGAGUGGUAACCGUUAUUAUUGGGUCUAAAGGGUCUGUAGCCGGCCGGAUAAGUCUCUUGGGAAAUCUGGCAGCUUAACUGUCAGGCUUUCAGGAGAUACUGUCUGGCUCGAGGCCGGGAGAGGUGAGAGGUACUUCAGGGGUAGGGGUGAAAUCUUGUAAUCCUUGAAGGACCACCAGUGGCGAAGGCGUCUCACCAGAACGGACCUGACGGCAAGGGACGAAAGCUAGGGGCACGAACCGGAUUAGAUACCCGGGUAGUCCUAGCCGUAAACGAUACUCGCUAGGUGUCGGCCACGGUGCGACCGUUGUCGGUGCCGUAGGGAAGCCGUGAAGCGAGCCACCUGGGAAGUACGGCCGCAAGGCUGAAACUUAAAGGAAUUGGCGGGGGAG
rnacentral:rRNA from 1 species